rnacentral:rRNA from 1 species
AACGAACGCUGGCGGCAGGCUUAACACAUGCAAGUCGAACGCUCGUAGCAAUACGGGAGUGGCGGACGGGUGAGUAACGCGUGGGAACGUGCCCUGAGGUACGGAAUAACUGCGGGAAACUGCAGCUAAUACCGUAUGAGCCCCGCAAGGGGGAAAGAUUUAUCGCCUUGGGAGCGGCCCGCGUCGGAUUAGCUAGUUGGUGGGGUAACGGCCUACCAAGGCUUCGAUCCGUAGCUGGUCUGAGAGGACGAUCAGCCACACUGGGACUGAGACACGGCCCAGACUCCUACGGGAGGCAGCAGUGGGGAAUCUUGCGCAAUGGGGGCAACCCUGACGCAGCCAUGCCGCGUGAAUGAUGAAGGCCUUAGGGUUGUAAAGCUCUUUUGUCAGGGAAGAAACGGUCUACUCUAAUACAGUGGGCUAAUGACGGUACCUGAAGAAUAAGCACCGGCUAACUACGUG